rnacentral:lncRNA from 1 species
AAUAACGCUGGCGGAAAGCACAAAGGCCUUGGCAUGGCGGGCCAAACUGCUGGAGAUACUCAGUGUUUUGAGUACACACAAUCACGGCUAUAUAUUGCAAUACGAUAAAUUCAGGGCGAACCAUACAGUCCAGGUCACACGCACAACACAAACUUAUUCCCAAAUUUAUUAACCGAUAUAGCGGCUAGCAUAGAGUAGCAGGUCGAGAGACGAUAGAUGAAUUAACUGAUGCUGCGUCCCGCUCUGAUCUUCUUUCGGUUCAGUCGCUGCUUGCGCUGCUGCUCGGGUUGGCGAAGACGUCGUCGAGAACAUCUUGGUCGACGAUGAAAUCCUCCGGAUCAGGUGCAGCGCCCACCAACGAAAAAAGCUCGGCGUCGGGAAACAUCAGGUCUUCAUCCAUGAGGAUCUCCUCCAGGAACAUCCCAUCUGCACCAUCUUCCUGCACAUCAUUGCUUUGCGGCACCACCACAUUCUCACCAUUACCACCAAGGUUUUCGGUCUGCUGCUGCUGCUGU